rnacentral:tRNA from 1 species
AUUAGAGUGGCAUAGUGGAAGCGUGAUGGGCUUAUAAUCCAUAGGUCCCAAGAUCGAAACUUGGCAUUGAUA